rnacentral:ncRNA from 1 species
AUAACUGUUAUUGCGAUAGGUGGAAUGAGAGGGUAACGCCUUGAAACGCCUGCUCAAAGAAACGCCAUGCAAAAGGGGAGAUAAUGCCCUUGCUGUAUGAAGUGCGUUAAGAUGUCCAGUGUCCGCCCUAACAAGUAAUGUUGAGGAAAACCGAACCAGAGGUGGUCGAGCGGUAUAGGGCUAGAGUCUAUAAA